GUGUGUCCUGGCCGUUUGAGGCUCUGGCCGAUUUCUUUUCCCAAGUCCCCAUGGAGAAUCAGGGACCGUCCUGUGCCAUCUUCCGAGAGCCUGGAAGGGUCCGCCCGUGGGCUUUCCGAGCGCCGAAGGGGCCACAUGCUGCUCUGAGGGUGCCGCAGAGAUGCUGUCUCACCAUGUUGGCCCCGGAUAGUCUUGGACUCCUGGGUUCCAGGUAUCCUCCGUGGCCUCCAAAAGUGCUGGGAUUACAGGUCCUGCCUACAGAAGAUCUUGUGACAUAUCCCUGCACCCAUCACACAGGAUAUUGUGACAUUGCUGAGCCCAGCAUCUAGGUGAUGUGACUCUUCUCUACUGUUUGGUCUCUACCCAAAAAGGGAUUGUGACAUAUCACUCUGUCAAGAACCUAGAAGAGGUGACUCUCCUCUCCAGCCUGGGACCUCCAUACAGAGGGGAUUGUAGCAUAUUCCUAAUGGAGCACCAAGGUGAUGUGACACUGCUGCCUGGUCCCUGCCCUCAGAGAAGAUUGUGACAUAUCACUGCCCCGAAACCCAGGUGUGAUUGUUACAUACACCUCUGCCCAGCACCUGAGUGAUUUGACUCUUCUGCUUGGGCCCAGCGUACAGAUGGGAUUGUGCCGCAUUGCUGGACCCAGCACUUAGGUGAUGUGAUAUAAUUCUCCUCUUCUGCCUGGCCCUGCCAAAAAGUGGGAGAUUAUGGCAAAUCACUGAACCCAGCACCUAGGGACCUUGUGACAUAUAUCUGCACCCAUGACCUAGAAGAUGUGACAUUUAUUUUUUGCCUGCACCCUGCCCUGCACAGGAAUGAUUGUGACAUAUCCUUGGAACCAGACACCAGAAUUGUAACAUAUCCCUGGCUGAGCACUCAGGUGAUGUGACACUCCUGCUUGGCUUCUUCCCUCAGCAGAUUAUGAGAUAUCCAUGGCUGAAAUCCAGGGGGAAUUGUGACAUAUCACUUGGCCCAGUACCAAGCAAGUGUGACUGUUCUAUUCAUCAUAAGUCCUGCUUUCAAGGGAGAUUGGGACAUAUUGUGGGGCUCAACACCAAUGUGACAUUACUGUUUUGCCUUGGCCCAGACCUUAAAGGCACUGUGACGUAUUGCUCGGCUCAGCAACAAGGUGACGAGAGAUCCUGUGUGGACAUUGACAACAGAGAGCAUUGUGACAUAUCUUUGGGAGCAUCAGCUAUUUGAUGUGACUCUCCUUUUAUACCAAGGCUUUGCUCAUAGGGGAGACCGUGAUGUAUCUUCUGGCCCAGAAAUCAGGCGAUGUGUUUCUCCUGCCUGAGCUUUGCUCACAGGGAGCAUUGUGACAUAUCACUGAGCCCAGCACCCAGGUGAUGGGACUCUACUGCCUGUCCCCUGCUUUCAGGAGGAAAUUGUAACAUAUCUCUGACCAAGCACCCAGGUGAUAAGUCUUCUGCCUGGUGCCUGUUCUCAGGGAAGAUUGUGACAUAUCCCUGGCCCAGCAACCAGAUGAUGCAGAUGACGUAUCUCUCCUGCUCACUCUCUAUCCACAGGUUCUGCCCACAAAGGAGAUUGUGGCAUACUGCUGGGCCUAACACUAAGGUGAUGUUACUUCUCUGCUUUGGCUAUGUCCUUAGAAGGCAUUGAGACACACUGCUGGGCCCAGCACCAAGAUGAUGUGAGUCCUCUGCCUGAACCCUGACCACAGGGAGCAUUGUGACAUAUUUCUUGACCCACUGCAAUCUCUCCUAUGGACAAAGCCCAGGUUGGAUUGUGACAUAUACUUUAGCCCAGCUCACAGUUGUGAUAAUGACACUCAUACUGACAAAUCAGUCAGUAGGAGAGAUACUGGCACUUGUAGCUAAACUUAGAGAAACAGGUUAUGUAACUCUCCUUGCUGGGUCCUGCCUACAGGAAGCUUUAUGAUCUAUCUGUGUAUUCAUCAUCCAGGUGUUAUGACUCUCGUCUUUUCACUGGAACCUGCCAAAAAGGGUGAUUGUGACAUAUCACUGGACCCAGCACCUUGGUGAUGUGACUCUCCUCUCCUCCUUAGGCCCUGCUUACAUUGUGUCUGUUGAAAUACGGCUGGUCCAACACCUAGGUAAUGUGACUCUCCUGCAUAGGCCUUGCUAAUAGGGGAUGUAUGACAUAUGUUUUGUUUAUCACUUAAGUGAUGUUACUCUCCUUUUCUUCCUGAAUCCUGUAAAAGGUGGGGGAUUGUGACCCUAUCACUGGACCCAGCACAUAAGUAAUAUGAGUUUCCUGCAUAGGCUCUGUUCAGAAGGGUAUUAUGACAUAUCUUUUUGUUCAUCACUUUGUGACUUGUCUUUUGACUGGAACCUGCCAAAAAGGGUGAUUGUGACAUAUUGCUGGACCCAGCACCUAGGUGAUGUGGCUCUCCUUUUUUUCUGGGCCUCACAUAUUUUGGGUAUUGUGAUGUAUAGCUGGGCUCAACACCUAGCAGUUGGGGAGCUCCUUUCUUGACCAUUCCCACAAAUGACAUAUCUCUGCUAUGACCGCCUAUGACACAUGACCUAAAUAUGUGACCCUUCUUUUCUGCCUGUACCCUGCUAACAGAGAAGAUUGUGACAAAUUGCUAAGUGCAUUGUAUCUUGUGCUAACCUUCUAUCUCAGCCUGUGACCAAGAAUGCCUAACUGCCGGGGAAUGCAGCCCUGUAGGUCUCAACCUCAAUUUGCCCAGCCACUAUUCAAAAUAGAGUCACUCUGGUUUAAAUGCCUCUGACAUUAAGAUACACUGUAAAAUUAUGAAAAAAGUUGAUUUGAAUUUUAGCAAAUGAGAAAUGAAAUAAUUAGAAUGGGCUAUUCUGAAAGAUAUAGCAUUAGUUAUAUUUGUGUUUGAGUUUUCUAUUAACCUAUAUUUGUUACUUAUGAAUAGAUACCUUGUUUUAUUCUGUCUAAACAGAUACACUAGGUGGGGUGCGGUGGCCAUGCCUGUAAUCCCAGCACUUUGGGAGGCCGAGGGGAGUGGAUCACCUGAGGUCAGGAAUUUGGGACAAGCCUGACCAACAUGGCAAAACCCUGUCUCUACUAAAAAUACAAAAAUCAGCUGACCAUGGUGGCGGGUGCCUGUAAUCCCAGCUACUUCAGAGGCUGAGGCAGGAGAAUUGCUUGAACCCGAGAGGUGGAGGUUGCAGUGAGCCAAGAUCAUGCCACUGCAUUCCACCCUGGGUGACAGAGCGAGACUCUGUCUCAAAAAAUAAGAAAAAAUAAGCGGCCGGGCAUGCUGGCUCACGCCUGUAAUCCCAACACUUUGGGAGGCCGAGGAGGGUGGAUCGCAAGGUCAGGAGUUCAAGACCAGCCUGGCCAAGAUGGUGAAACCCUGUCUCUACUAAAAAUACAAAAAUUAGCCACGUGUGUUGGCAGGUGCCUGUAAUCCCAGCUACUCGGGAGGCUGAGGCAGAGAAUUGCUUGAACCCAGGAGGCAGAGUUUGCAGUGAGCCGAGAUCUCACCAUUGCACUCCAGCCUGGGUGACAGAGGGAGAUUCUGUCUCAAAAAAAAAAAAAGGACAUAAAUUUAAUGUUAAGUGUGGACUCAUAAAGAAUCUAGACAGCCACCAAGCCAUUUGUUUAUUCUUGAUUUCUUAAAGCUUCCAUUAUUAAAAGCUCUGCAUUCCAUUACUCAUC
rnacentral:lncRNA from 1 species